UGUAUUUAUUAGAUUAAAAACCAAUGCCCUUCGGGGCUUCCUGGUGAUUCAUGAUAACUUCUCGAAUCGCACGGCCUUGCGCCGGCGAUGGUUCAUUCAAAUUUCUGCCCUAUCAACUUUCGACGGCUGGGUCUUGGCCAGCCAUGGUGACAACGGGUAACGGAGGGUUAGGGCUCGACCCCGGAGAAGGAGCCUGAGAAACGGCUACUACAUCCAAGGAAGGCAGCAGGCGCGCAAAUUACCCAAUCCCGACACGGGGAGGUAGUGACAAUAAAUACUGAUACAGGGCUCUUUUGGGUCUUGUAAUUGGAAUGAGUACAAUUUAAAUCCCUUAACGAGGAACAAUUGGAGGGCAAGUCUGGUGCCAGCAGCCGCGGUAAUUCCAGCUCCAAUAGCGUAUAUUAAAGUUGUUGAGGUUAAAAAGCUCGUAGUUGAACCUUGGGCCUAGCCGGUCGGUCCGCCUCACCGCGUGCACUGACUCGGUUGGGCCUUUCCUUCUGGAGAACCGCAUGCCCUUCACUGGGUGUGUCGGGGAACCAGG
rnacentral:rRNA from 1 species